ACAGGCAAAACAUGAUAGGUAGCCUUAGACGAUCGAGAAGGACACAUUGCAAGAUAGUUAAAUGGUAGGAUCUCCUCUGCUUCGUUUCUACCCCCUCCCACUUCCUGUUUUGCCUUCAUCUUUUGUUUCUUUCUCUCAUCUUUCUUGGCCUGAUUACGUUUAAUUUUCGCAAGUUUUU
rnacentral:ribozyme from 12 species